GAUGAACGCUGGCGGCGUGCCUAAUACAUGCAAGUCGAGCGAACAGACGAGGAGCUUGCUCCUCUGACGUUAGCGGCGGACGGGUGAGUAACACGUGGAUAACCUACCUAUAAGACUGGGAUAACUUCGGGAAACCGGAGCUAAUACCGGAUAACAUGUUGAACCGCAUGGUUCAACAGUGAAAGACGGUCUUGCUGUCACUUAUAGAUGGAUCCGCGCCGCAUUAGCUAGUUGGUAAGGUAACGGCUUACCAAGGCAACGAUGCGUAGCCGACCUGAGAGGGUGAUCGGCCACACUGGAACUGAGACACGGUCCAGACUCCUACGGGAGGCAGCAGUAGGGAAUCUUCCGCAAUGGGCGAAAGCCUGACGGAGCAACGCCGCGUGAGUGAAGAAGGUCUUCGGAUCGUAAAACUCUGUUAUUAGGGAAGAGCAAAUGUGUAAGUAACUAUGCACGUCUUGACGGUACCUAAUCAGAAAGCCACGGCUAACUACGUG
rnacentral:rRNA from 1 species